rnacentral:rRNA from 1 species
AGGUGAUAUGAACCGUUAUAACCGGCGAUUUCCGAAUGGGGAAACCCAGUGUGUUUCGACACACUAUCAUUAACUGAAUCCAUAGGUUAAUGAGGCGAACCGGGGGAACUGAAACAUCUAAGUACCCCGAGGAAAAGAAAUCAACCGAGAUUCCCCCAGUAGCGGCGAGCGAACGGGGAGGAGCCCAGAGCCUGAAUCAGUGUGUGUGUUAGUGGAAGCGUCUGGAAAGGCGCGCGAUACAGGGUGACAGCCCCGUACACAAAAAUGCACAUAUUGUGAGCUCGAUGAGUAGGGCGGGACACGUGGUAUCCUGUCUGAAUAUGGGGGGACCAUCCUCCAAGGCUAAAUACUCCUGACUGACCGAUAGUGAACCAGUACCGUGAGGGAAAGGCGAAAAGAACCCCGGCGAGGGGAGUGAAAAAGAACCUGAAACCGUGUACGUACAAGCAGUGGGAGCCUCUUUAUGGGGUGACUGCGUACCUUUUGUAUAAUGGGUCAGCGACUUAUAUUCUGUAGCAAGGUUAACCGAAUAGGGGAGCCGAAGGGAAACCGAGUCUUAACUGGGCGUUAAGUUGCAGGGUAUAGACCCGAAACCCGGUGAUCUAGCCAUGGGCAGGUUGAAGGUUGGGUAACACUAACUGGAGGACCGAACCGACUAAUGUUGAAAAAUUAGCGGAUGACUUGUGGCUGGGGGUGAAAGGCCAAUCAAACCGGGAGAUAGCUGGUUCUCCCCGAAAGCUAUUUAGGUAGCGCCUCGUGAAUUCAUCUCCGGGGGUAGAGCACUGUUUCGGCAAGGGGGUCAUCCCGACUUACCAACCCGAUGCAAACUGCGAAUACCGGAGAAUGUUAUCACGGGAGACACACGGCGGGUGCUAACGUCCGUCGUGAAGAGGGAAACAACCCAGACCGCCAGCUAAGGUCCCAAAGUCAUGGUUAAGUGGGAAACGAUGUGGGAAGGCCCAGACAGCCAGGAUGUUGGCUUAGAAGCAGCCAUCAUUUAAAGAAAGCGUAAUAGCUCACUGGUCGAGUCGGCCUGCGCGGAAGAUGUAACGGGGCUAAACCAUG